rnacentral:rRNA from 1 species
GACGAACGCUGGCGGCGUGCUUAACACAUGCAAGUCGAACGGAAAGGCCCUGCUUUUGUGGGGUGCUCGAGUGGCGAACGGGUGAGUAACGCGUGAGUAACCUGCCCUUGACUUUGGGAUAACUUCUGGAAACUGGGGCUAAUACCGGAUAGGAGCUCCUGCUGCAUGGUGGGGGUUGGAAAGUUUCGGCGGUUGGGGAUGGACUCGCGGCUUAUCAGCUUGUUGGUGGGGUAGUGGCUUACCAAGGCUUUGACGGGUAGCCGGCCUGAGAGGGUGACCGGCCACAUUGGGACUGAGAUACGGCCCAGACUCCUACGGGAGGCAGCAGUGGGGAAUAUUGCACAAUGGGCGGAAGCCUGAUGCAGCAACGCCGCGUGCGGGAUGACGGCCUUCGGGUUGUAAACCGCUUUCGCCUGUGACGAAGCGUGAGUGACGGUAAUGGGUAAAGAAGCACCGGCUAAGUACGUG